rnacentral:lncRNA from 1 species
UGCGGCCUGUGGCUGCAGAGGGACGCAAGAACAUAAACUGAAAUCCCACAUCCCCGUGAAGGAACUUGGAGUUGGUGUCUGGGGAGAAAUCGAGGUUCUGGGGCACGGGUUUGACAUUAGGAUUACUGGGCAGCCCUGAUUAAUUGGAGUUCUUCUGCAGGACCUACACUGCCUGGCUUUGCCCUUCGGAACCAUAGACAUAUAUCGACUCUUGAAUAUUCAGCUAUUUGAACGUAGAUGUUAUCCUAGUACCACCCCAGUUAUUCUCUUGGCUAAAUAUAACAAGUACCUUCAAUAAUUACUAAGGAGACAUUACAGACACGCUGAAAUUGUCAAUGGCUUGAAAACCUGGGGUCCAGAAAUUAACACAGUGGGUGUAAGGAAGGCAAAAUAAUGACACCUUGAGUCGCUGAGGGCUAGGUGAUGAUAUCUAUAAUAAAACCAAUAAGGUGUCUUGUUGUUCGAAUGAAAGAGUGAGUCCAAGUCAUGGGCUCAGGUGGUCCUUUAUAGACUUUCCAGAAAAGGUCCAGGGGCCAGGUGACACAGACAGAACAAAGUAAAAUGAAGCUUAUUAGGGCGCAGGCUUAAGGCUCAGUCAUCAGUGGUGAUAUUUGUUAGUUAUCUUGCCUUGGGCUAGUUUUUCCCUUUGAGUCUCAGUUUAGUCACUUAUAAAUAGGAGAUGCUAAUACCUAACUCACAGUUCUGUUUUGAGGAUAAGAUGCAAAGCGCAGCAAAUAGGAGCCACUCUUUCAGAGAUGACAGACCACCUGGUUUCAAGGAGCAGCAGACGGCGUGAAUGAAUGAAGUUGGCCAGCUAAAUACAGAGUAGUGGAUACUAUGCUUAACUGAGACAUGCUUAGACUGCAAGAGCUUGCAAAUUUAUCAAAACAAAACAAAAUAUUGUGUUGGUUCAAUAUAACCUCACUUCAGAGAUACCUGAUACACAGCCCUUAGGCUUAGGACCACUACUACUGGUUGGUGUCUUUCAUAAGCCUAGAAAUAGUUAAGUAUCUUUAAAUAAAAGAAAUCCCCUCCACUCAUGGGACUGGGCACAUGCUCACAGUUCCACCUGUGCAGGCAAGAGGCAGCUUCCUGCAGAGAAAAUCUUUCAACUUCUCUGACAAAUGAAUGCUCAGGGCUCUCCACUCAGCAUAGCCUAUGGUUUGUCAGACUAUCCCAAUCUUAUUACUAUUGGAUUACUACUGGGGGUUACCUAGAUGACAGACAGCCCCUUCGUUGUAUUUCUAUAUGCAAAAUAAAUAAAUUCCAAGUCAGCAGUGUUAAUAUUAUGACUACAAGACUGCCCUGCAAACAUCUCCUAUAUAUGUAAAGACAAUGAACACAUCAUGAAGAUUCUGCUUUGUUUAUACCAUAAUUCAAACUUCCAGAGAACUCUCUUGAAUGAAAGUAGAGGACUAAAUGGUAAAGAACUGAAAUGCAGACAGGAAAUGGGACUUGCCUGACAUGGAGCAGAUGAGCAACUGUUAAAUGAAAUUCGUCCUCGAAAGGAAGAAGGUUUCAUAAGCAAUUAUUGGAUUUUAGACUUACGAUCUCAUUUCAUCUAGGACCUCAUUACAAACAAGGGGAAAAGAAAACAGAACUUCAAAAGUUCUGUGUGUUGACUGGAAUCACCUGGGAAGUUUUAGUCCUGUGAUGCCACCUGGAACCACAGUAAGCAUCUGGGAGCAUCUGGAGGCUCUAUUUGGCUGAAUAUCCCACAUGGUUCACUCACAGGGCUGUCUGUUGAUGCUGGAUGAAGGCUGGCGGCUCUCGGUAGGGCUUGUGUCCACAACACCUACACAUGCUCUCACAGCUUGAUGGCAGGGUAUCCAGAGGGCAGAAGCAAAGGCUGCCAGUCAGUCUUCUAAACGGCUAAGCCUAGAACUGGCACAGUGCCACUUUUGCUGCAAUCUAUUGCUUAAGCAGCCACAGGGCCAGAUUAGAUUCUAGCUAAGGGAAAAUAAAUAUCAAUUCCCAAAAAGGAGAGUUACAAGAAAUUGUGGCCAUCUGCUAUGGACUUAAUUGUGUCCU